rnacentral:rRNA from 1 species
CGGCCACAUUGGGACUGAGACACGGCCCAGACUCCUACGGGAGGCAGCAGUGGGGGAUAUUGCGCAAUGGGGGAAACCCUGACGCAGCAACGCCGCGUGAAGGAUGAAGGUUUUCGGAUUGUAAACUUCUUUUAUUUAGGACGAAGAAUGACGGUACUAAAUGAAUAAGCUCCGGCUAACUACGUGCCAGCAGCCGCGGUAAUACGUAGGGAGCAAGCGUUAUCCGGAUUUACUGGGUGUAAAGGGUGCGUAGGCGGCUUGGUAAGUCAGAUGUGAAAUGUAUGGGCUCAACCCAUGCACUGCAUUUGAAACUAUUGAGCUUGAGUGAAGUAGAGGUAGGCGGAAUUCCCUGUGUAGCGGUGAAAUGCGUAGAGAUAGGGAGGAACACCAGUGGCGAAGGCGGCCUACUGGGCUUUAACUGACGCUGAGGCACGAAAGCGUGGGUAGCAAACAGGAUUAGAUACCCUGGUAGUCCACGCUGUAAACGAUGAUUACUAGGUGUGGGGGGUCUGACCCCUUCCGUGCCGGAGUUAACACAAUAAGUAAUCCACCUGGGGAGUACGACCGCAAGGUUGAAACUCAAAGGAAUUGACGGGGGCCCGCACAAGCAGUGGAGUAUGUGGUUUAAUUCGAAGCAACGCGAAGAACCUUACCAGGUCUUGACAUCCGACUAACGAGAUAGAGAUAUGUUAGGUGCCCUUCGGGGAAAGUCGAGACAGGUGGUGCAUGGUUGUCGUCAGCUCGUGUCGUGAGAUGUUGGGUUAA